UUUAUUAUGGUGGCUUCUACAACAAAAUCACGGGGUUCUAUUUCCUCCACGUAACCCAAUACGAAACGACGCAUUAGAUAAAAAAAAAUGUCGACUCAAACAUUUCCUGAUCGUUGCAUCCGUUGUCUGGAUAAAGGAACUACAACAGACGAAUAUAUCCUCCAAAUCUCCAUCUGUUGCGUAUUCGCCUCCUCCACAAGAAGAAGUAGAAGUCGAUUACAUUCCCCACAUCGAUCAACAACUUACUUCAACGCCAACUAAUGUGAAAUCGAAAAAAAAAACAAAAAGAAAAAAAAAACACGAUUCAAAAUGAUCACCCGUCGUCCUUCCAUCCCCACAGGGUUUGGAUGCUCUGCAGAAGAGAACAACACCAAUUUCACCAACAGACAAAUUUUUAAAAAAUAGGAGCUUGAUGUUUCAAUGUUGUAUUCUUGUAUUCUCAUAGACGAAUUGCUAAUUAUCACAUUGUAAUUUCUUUUAUGUUUUGAGUUAUUCAUUUAUGAUUAGAUAUAUAAAAUAGUUAUUUAUAUUAUGCAUUGUAUUCAUUUCUGAUUACAACUAUAUGAGAUUUAUUUUAGAAAUUGUUCUUAUUCAUUUACAAUUACAAAUGUAUUGAUUUUUUAAAUUU